rnacentral:misc_RNA from 1 species
UUUCCGUGGGUGAGCCUGCGGAAGGAUCAUUCAUAAUAAAGUGUUUUAUGGCACUUUUUAAAAAUCCAUAUCCACCUUGUGUGCAAUGUUAGAUCUCGUCAAUCUUGGCGAGAUUUUUAUACAUCAACUCAUUUUUUAACUAAUUUGUCUGAAAAAUAUUAUGAAUACUUAAUUCAAAAUACAACUUUCAACAACGGAUCUCUUGGCUCUC